rnacentral:rRNA from 1 species
AUUGAACGCUAGCGGGAUGCCUUACACAUGCAAGUCGAACGGAGUGGCGAACGGGUGAGUAAUGUAUCGGAACGUGCCCAGUAGCGGGGGAUAACUACGCGAAAGCGUAGCUAAUACCGCAUACUAUUGGAGCGGCCGAUAUCGGAUUAGCGAGUUGGUGGGGUAACGGCUGACCAAGGCGACUAUCCGUAGCUGGUGUGAGAGGAUGACCAGCCACACGGGGACUGAGACACGGCCCAGACUCCUACGUGAGGCAGCAGUGGGGAAGUUUGGACAAUGGGGGAAAGCCUGAUCCAGCCAUGCCGCGUGUGCGAUGAAGGCCUGCGGGUUGUAAAGCACUGGUGGCAGGAAGGCGGUACCUGCAGAAUAAGCACCGGCUAACUACGUGCCAGCAGCCGCGGUAAUAC